rnacentral:rRNA from 1 species
GAGUUUGAUCCUGGCUCAGGAUGAACGCUGGCGGCGUGCUUAACACAUGCAAGUCGAACGAAGCACUUCAGGAGCGAUUUCGGUCAAUCCUGAUUUGACUGAGUGGCGGACGGGUGAGUAACGCGUGAGGAACCUGCCUCGCAGUGGGGAAUAACAGCUGGAAACGGCUGCUAAUACCGCAUAAUGCAGAGAGACCGCAUGAUUUUUCUGCCAAAGAUUUAUCGCUGUGAGAUGGCCUCGCGUCUGAUUAGCUAGUUGGUGAGGUAACGGCCCACCAAGGCGACGAUCAGUAGCCGGACUGAGAGGUUGAUCGGCCACAUUGGGACUGAGACACGGCCCAGACUCCUACGGGAGGCAGCAGUGGGGAAUAUUGGGCAAUGGGCGCAAGCCUGACCCAGCAACGCCGCGUGAAGGAAGAAGGCUUUCGGGUUGUAAACUUCUUUUAUCAGGGACGAUAAUGACGGUACCUGAUGAAUAAGCUCCGGCUAACUACGUGCCAGCCGCCGCGGUAAUUC